rnacentral:tRNA from 1 species
GGCUCAGUGGCUCAGUGGUAGAGUGCUUGCCUUGCAUGCAUGAGGCCCUGGGUUCAAUUCCUCAGCACCA